UGUGUUAAAAGUGUCUGAAAUAUAGUUAUUUUAUCCGCACUAUUUUCAAACAACCAAUACUGGAUAUAUGAAACAAAAUGAAACAUCUUCUCACUAUCAGAAUUGCUCCAGAGUGCCAGGAUUCUGCCUGAGGAGCAGCCUGUGGUGUCUCCCAUCCCCUGUCCUGUUCCUCCCCAGCGGGGCCAAACUCCAUCUCAAACACACUGCAAGUAGAAAAGUCAGCUUUCUCGCCAUUAAAGAGCCAGAGCCUCACACGGAGAAGGACCAAACCACAGUGAACUCCUGUCCUCAGCCACACAGAUUCACUGCCUUCUACAGGAUGCUGACACUGAGUUAAGGCAUCAAGAGUCUGGCAGAGCCCUGAGUAGG